rnacentral:rRNA from 1 species
UGGGCAACCUGCCCUCAGCUCUGGGAUAACUCCAAGAAAUUGGGGCUAAUACCGGAUAUGACCGCUGACCGCAUGGUCUGGUGGUGGAAAGAUUUAUCGGCUGGGGAUGGGGCCCCGCGGCCUAUCAGCUUGUUGGUGGGGUAGUGGCCUACCAAGGCGACGACGGGUAGCCGGCCUGAGAGGGUGACCGGCCACACUGGGACUGAGACACGGCCCAGACUCCGUACGGGAG